GCUUCCUUGGCUCAGUUGGUUAGAGCGCCGGUCUCAUAAUCCGGAGGCCGUGAGUUCAAGUCUCACAGGGAGCA
rnacentral:tRNA from 1 species